AGUGAACGCUGGCGGUAGGCCUAACACAUGCAAGUCGAACGGCAGCACAGUAAGAGCUUGCUCUUACGGGUGGCGAGUGGCGGACGGGUGAGGAAUACAUCGGAAUCUACUUUUUCGUGGGGGAUAACGUGGGGAAACUUACGCUAAUACCGCAUACGACCUACGGGUGAUAGCAGGGGAUCUUCGGACCUUGCGCGAUUGAAUGAGCCGAUGUCGGAUUAGCUAGUUGGCGGGGUAAAGGCCCACCAAGGCGACGAUCCGUAGCUGGUCUGAGAGGAUGAUCAGCCACACUGGAACUGAGACACGGUCCAGACUCCUACGGGAGGCAGCAGUGGGGAAUAUUGGACAAUGGGCGCAAGCCUGAUCCAGCCAUACCGCGUGGGUGAAGAAGGCCUUCGGGUUGUAAAGCCCUUUUGUUGGGAAAGAAAAGCAGCAGGUUAAUACCCCGCUGUUCUGACGGUACCCAAAGAAUAAGCACCGGCUAACUUCGUG
rnacentral:rRNA from 1 species